UUAUAUGGAGAGUUUGAUCCUGGCUCAGGACGAACGCUGGCGGCGUGCCUAAUACAUGCAAGUCGAGCGGACGGAUGGGAGCUUGCUCCCUGAAGUCAGCGGCGGACGGGUGAGUAACACGUGGGCAACCUGCCUGUAAGACUGGGAUAACUUCGGGAAACCGGAGCUAAUACCGGAUAAUGCAUAACCUCUCAUGAGGCUAUGCUGAAAGAUGGUUUCGGCUAUCACUUACAGAUGGGCCCGCGGCGCAUUAGCUAGUUGGUGAGGUAACGGCUCACCAAGGCAACGAUGCGUAGCCGACCUGAGAGGGUGAUCGGCCACACUGGGACUGAGACACGGCCCAGACUCCUACGGGAGGCAGCAGUAGGGAAUCUUCCGCAAUGGACGAAAGUCUGACGGAGCAACGCCGCGUGAGUGAUGAAGAUUUUCGGAUCGUAAAACUCUGUUGUUAGGGAAGAACAAGUGCCGGAGUAACUGCCGGCGCCUUGACGGUACCUAACCAGAAAGCCACGGCUAACUACGUGCCAGCAGCCGCGGUAAUACGUAGGUGGCAAGCGUUGUCCGGAAUUAUUGGGCGU
rnacentral:rRNA from 1 species